GGAUGUGAGGGCGAUCUGGCUGUGACAUCUGUCACCCCACUGAUCACCAGGGUUGAUUCUCAGCACUCCACGUGCAUCCCUCCUGAAGCUGUGCGCUCGGUCAAAGAGGACAACCUUCCCUCGAUAGGAGAGGACUGGUCUUCGGUCAAGGGUUGUACGAAUAGCUGCGCUCCCCUGCUAGAACCUCCAAACAAGCUCUCAAGGUCCAAAACUCCUCUUCGAGUUGCUCUUCCUCCUGCACCCUUUAUUCUCUUAGAUACUGACACCGUCAAUCACUCAGA
rnacentral:sRNA from 1 species